rnacentral:rRNA from 1 species
UACAGAGGUCCCAAGCGUUGUUCGGAUUCACUGGGCGUAAAGGGUGCGUAGGCGGUCGGGUAAGUCUGAUGUGAAAUCUCCAAGCCUAACUUGGAAACUGAGUUGGAUACUCUCAGGCUAGAGGAAUGGAGGGGAGACUGGAAUACUUGGUGUAGCAGUGAAAUGCGUAGAUAUCAAGUGGAACACCAGUGGCGAAGGCGAGUCUCUGGACAUUUCCUGACGCUGAGGCACGAAAGCCAGGGGAGCAAACGGG